rnacentral:rRNA from 1 species
UACGUAGGGACCAAGCGUUGUCCGGAAUCAUUGGGCGUAAAGAGCGCGUAGGCGGUCCGGUAAGUCCGCUCUGAAAGUCCGGGGCUCAACCCCGGGAGGCGGGCGGAUACUGUCGGGCUAGAGUCCGGAAGAGGCGAGUGGAAUUCCUGGUGUAGCGGUGAAAUGCGCAGAUAUCAGGAGGAACACCAAUGGCGAAGGCAGCUCGCUGGGACGGUACUGACGCUGAGGCGCGAAAGCGUGGGGAGCAAACAGG